rfam:Camelus ferus unplaced genomic scaffold scaffold1815, whole genome shotgun sequence.
GGAGGUAUAGCUCAAGUGGUAGAGUUCCUGCUUAGCAUGCACAAGGUCCUGGGUUCAAUCCCCAGUACCUCCA